AUCAUUUCUUGGCCUUUUGGCUAAUAUCAAGUAUAGUAUCUGUUCUUAUCAAUUUAAUAUCUGAUAUGUUCUCUAUCCGAGGACAAUAUAUUAAUCAUGACAUCAAAAUAAAAGAGAGACUACUU
rnacentral:snRNA from 1 species